UUGGCAUACUAUUUCUAUAUUAUUUCUACUAGAAUCUAGACUGUGGGCUCAUCUAGGGGAAGGAAUUAUGUCUUUUUAUCUCCUUAUCUCCAAGGCUCAGCACAUCCUUUGCACUCUAAGUACUUUGUCAGUAAGUGAAUGAAUGUGAUUUGGGAUCAGAAUACAAGCAUAAAGGUUUUGUUAUUUUAAGCUUAAUGUUCCAAUCAUUUUAGAGUUCCUCUCCAUAGAGAGCACCGCUUUUCAAAAGGUCACUAGGAUUGUGAGGUGACAGCAACCAGAUUGCUAGGGUUGUGCAAUGACAGGUUGAUGAGGAAACAGAAUCAGGUUCCCUCAAAGAAGGCAAUGAAAGCAAAGAAAGAGGGGGCCCAGUUGCACCCAUCUUGAGGAGGGAGACAGGACAAACUGGAGUCGGUUUACAGGCUGAGGAGCGAGCGCCUGUAAUGAGUGGGAGGUGAGGAUGGGAUCAAUGGGAGGGUAAGGAGGGAUCCAAGGGGAAUUAGCUGGGGGUGGGAGGAACACCUGUUCCUCUGCAUCUUGGAAAGCAAGGAUUGUCAGAGAUACAGGAGGGUUUUGAGCAAAGUGAAGGGAAAGAGAGUGGCAGGAAGGAGGUCUUCAUGCAGCUGAAGUCUUACCUGGGACUGGACGUGAUCCUGUCUUGUACCACCUCCUUCUAACCUCCAGUUUGCUGAAGGUGCUUUUUCUGGACCAGGCCUGCAGAAAACUGCUCAGGAACUACAGGAACAUGAAUGAGCAACCAGCAGCCUUCAAGUGGUGCAAGGGCGCCCUCUAGUGGCCACUUCGGGAAACCUCGGGCGUAGAGAGCAAUGCUGCUCCUGGGACUACGGUUCCAUUGCCAUGGACAGAAGGACCAACACUUGGAGGCAGAGAUGGCUGUAAGUCUAAGGACCAUCAUUCUGGGGCAGAAACAUAAGCACAGGGCUGGCAAUCCCAAUUGGACAGAAGAUAGAUCAUGACGAUCAGGCAGACCGUCACAGAAAAAACAGGCCUAAUCACAGCCUAGAUCCCGAAAUGCACCUGCUUGCCCUCUGGGAGACAUCACUGGAGGAAAAGGGGACAACUGGAAUUUUGUUAGCCCUGUCAGGACUUGUGUUACAGAGGCGCAGAAAAUGAUUAUUUUAUGAAAAUUCAGUUAAAACUUCAAAAUACAAAAUUGACUCCAGGUUCAGAGAACUUGAGACACCCGACUACUUUUAGUAGGAUCUGAGGAAGCAGGUGUUCCCAGGGAACGAGAAAUACUGUGUUGUGGCUGUUGCUGCAACCCUGUUUUUACCUCUAACCUGCUGUCUCCUUGGAAACACAACUCUCUAUA